UACGUAGGUCCCGAGCGUUGUCCGGAUUUAUUGGGCGUAAAGCGAGCGCAGGUGGUUUAAUAAGUCUGAUGUAAAAGGCAGUGGCUCAACCAUUGUGUGCAUUGGAAACUGUUAGACUUGAGUGCAGUAGAGGAGAGUGGAAUCCCAUGUGUAGCGGUGAAAUGCGUAGAUAUAUGGAGGAACACCGGUGGCGAAAGCGGCUCUCUGGACUGUCACUGACGCUCAUGCACGAAAGCGUGGGGAGCAAACAGG
rnacentral:rRNA from 1 species